AUGCCGUGCUCCUGGAAGGACAGACUACUUAGUGCCAUCGCAAAGCCUGAAUUUGGUCCCGGGGGCACUUCAGUGCACUCCCCAGCUCUGCCCCAGAAGCAAGACCUAACUGUGGUCGCUCCAUGGGGCAGCUCCCCACUUCUGAAGAAGGAAGGUUUCAUUUUGGUCCUGUUCUCCUGGAUUGCAGGUGCUGAGGUUUCAGGUAAGACAGAACCCGUGGGGAUGCUUCUUCACGCACCAGCCCGGCUCCAUCCAGCUUACCAGCACCAAAAGGAGGUGUCCGACCCCCCCAUGUCACAGCAGCCCAAGGACCUCAUUGGCUUUUCAGACGCGAUCAGGACACUGCUCAGCGUGGGAAGGGUGGGGAUGCCACGCUUUCAUGACGAGCCAGGAGAGGCCAUGGUAGCCAGGGUUUGCAUGGUAGCCCCAGCAGGCUUUGCAGAUGGAAGCUAUUUUAGGAUAGUUUGGUGUCUUUCCUAUUCUGCAGAUUUCUUAAUGUGUGUGUGAGCAAUCAAUUGGCUGCUAGGACAGGAAGAUGUGACCGUGCAGGCCCUUUGUGGCACCGAAAGCAAACCCGGUGCAGGUUUGUUCACAAGCAGGUGAGUGCAUGAAGGUCCACCCGUGCUUGGUUAUUCUGAAGAGCAGGUGACACCUACAAGGAGGGGCACGUCCCCAUUCCUCCGUACCCGUGGCAGACACCUCUGCUCCCCAGAGGCCAGGACCAUCACGCAGCCACGGCUGUGGCCGCACCAGUCCUAAAGGUGGAUGCAGCGAGACCCAGCGCCAUCAUCAGAGCUGGCCACAUAUGAGGCAACUCACGUCUGGAAGCAGUCGGGCUCUGCCGAGCCCCAGAAGGCACAUGGGUGAGUUACCUUAUCGUAAGCACCCUCGACUUAAAUUAAACAUGGUUUAUAAGCAGAGGCACAACAGAGGCACACUGGGAGGUUACGUGCUGUUAUGGGGUGACCUAGGGAUGUGCUGAUGUGGGUCUCCACCAGCGUGGAGAUCCUGUACUGUGCUCAGCUGUGGCUUUGUGGAUGAUGAUCUGCUUACAUGGCCUUUUGCAUUGAUUGUAUAAAGCUAAUAGUCUGCCGCUAAUGGUUGAGGUUUGCAGGGCUUCAGCAGUUAGUUUAGAAGAGCCAGGAGGUGCUGUUUUGUCUAGAAGUGAAUUCUGAACUUACUAUCUUAAAGUAAAUUCCCUUUCUGCAGGAAAUACUGGUGUUGCUGCUCUUUGUCCCAGAACUGAGUGAAGUAAAAAAAAAAAACUUUGACAUUUUCUGUGGAAGAGCAAGUCAAGCUCACAGCCAUCUCUUUUCUUUUGCCUUGCUAUAGGCUUUAAAUUUCAUAGCAUCCUUCCCCAUCAAGGGGGAAAAAAUACAAAGGUUUGACAAAGGGCAGAAAACAAUGUUGAGUGGCACUUAGCUUUAAAGGAUGUCUUAAAUUUUUAUGGAAAUUUUCUAAAUUGUAAAACGAAACACCAACCACCUUAGAUAAGGAAAUAAUCUCU
rnacentral:lncRNA from 1 species